CACUCCCUGGGGUGUUCGCCAGUCGGUCACGUCCCUCGAGCCGAUAAGCACACCCACGGAGGCUUUUUGGAUUGCUGGUGAGCAUGUCCGUUCAACGGAAAGCCUGAUGCAAGCCAAGGCCGCCACCUUGAACCUUCGGGUUCAGGGCCACGACCGGUAACGGCACUCCGGGGAGCCC
rnacentral:other from 1 species